rnacentral:rRNA from 1 species
CUAGCCUACUAAUUCGUUUCCCGAUCCGGCUUGCGUCGGUGCUAACUUCCUAGAGGGACAGGUGGCGUUUAGCCACACGAGAUUGAGCAAUAACAGGUCUGUGAUGCCUUUAGAUGUCCGGGGCCGCACGCGCGCUACACUGAAGGAAUCAGCGUGGAUGCUUCCCUGGACCGAAGGGGUUGGGAAACCCGUUGAAUCCCCUUCGUGAUAGGGAUUGGGGCUUGAAAUUCUUCCCAAUGAACGAGGAAUUCCCAGUAAGCGCGAGUCAUAAGCUCGCGUUGAUUACGUCCCUGCCCUUUGUACACACCGCCCGUCGCUACUACCGAUUGAACGGUUUAGUGAGGGCCUCGAAUUGGUCUCGGCGCGCCCUUCACCGAGCGGCGCCUUGGGUCGAGAAGACGCUCGAACUUGAUCGUUUAGAGGAAGUAAAAGUCGUAACAAGGUUUCCGUAGGUGAACCUGCGAAAGGAUCAUUUU